AAAAUUUUAAGUUAAAAAAACUAUUAAUCUUCAAAAUUAAAAAUAAAUAAUUAAUUUAAAUUUUA
rnacentral:tRNA from 1 species